rnacentral:rRNA from 1 species
AGCGAACGCUGGCGGCAGGCCUAACACAUGCAAGUCGAACGAAGUCUUCGGACUUAGUGGCGGACGGGUGAGUAACACGUGGGAACGUGCCUUUAGGUUCGGAAUAACUCAGGGAAACUUGUGCUAAUACCGAAUGUGCCCUUCGGGGGAAAGAUUUAUCGCCUUUAGAGCGGCCCGCGUCUGAUUAGCUAGUUGGUGAGGUAAAGGCUCACCAAGGCUACGAUCAGUAGCUGGUCUGAGAGGAUGACCAGCCACAUUGGGACUGGGACACGGCCCAAACUCCUACGGGAGGCAGCAGUGGGGAAGCUUGCGCAAUUGGCGAAAGCCUGACGCAGCCAUGCCGCGUGGAUGAUGAAGGUCUUAGGAUUGUAAAAUCCUUUCACCGGUGAAGAUAAUGACUGUAGCCGGAGAAGAAGCCCCGGCUAACUUCGUGCCAGCAGCCGCAGUAACAC